GCCUGGGUGGCUCAGUGGAUUAAAGCUCCUGCCUUCGGCUCAGGUCAUGAUCUCAGGGUCCUGGGAUCAAGCCCCUCGUUGGGCU
rnacentral:tRNA from 1 species